GAGGGUGUAGCUCAGUGGUAGAGCACAUGCCUAGCAUGCACGAGGUCCUGGGUUCAAACCUCAGCACCUCCA
rfam:Camelus ferus unplaced genomic scaffold scaffold443, whole genome shotgun sequence.